CUUAUACUCUCUCCGUCCAACAAAGGAUGUCUCAACUUUGACUAAAUUUGAAUGCAUCUAUACACUAAGUCAUGUCUAAAUACAUCCAAAUUUUGACAAACUUGAGACAUUUUUUGUUGGACGGAGGGAGUAUUUG
rnacentral:pre_miRNA from 1 species